AAAUUGAAAAAAAGCGGUUAAAAGUUAAAAUUUGCACAUAGGUCCAAACUGUAUUAAAAUUAGAUAAUGAAGCCGAAUAUAAUAGUUGAGCGACCGUGCUAGAACCACGGAAUUCACAAAUGCCCAACACGUUCUCCCCGGUUAACAGAAUUCCUUUAAACAGAAUCAAUAUUUUCCUCGAUUCGGGAUUUGAACCGGUGGGACACCAUAAAUUUCUCAAGCGACGACUCUGAAUCUUUUUAAUAAAUUCCGUUUUGAUUGUCACUUAAAUUGGGAAAAAACUCCCUCAUAUCCCUUCGGCGUAGUAAAAAGGAGGUGUGAUAAACUUGACGUGAUUAGUGCCAAGUAAUAUCAAAUCUAACCUCGAAUAAAUAGUCGCAAUGCCAGAUAAUACUUGCCACAUUGCUAUGAUAGUAAAAUUAAGAAUUGAAACACUCGAUAAUGUCAUGAAUAACAAGAAUCACAAUAUCAACAAUAGGAAGGUAUUAAGCAUGUUUUUCUACUACAUAAAUAACCAUAACACAACUCAAAUAUGAUAUUAAGAAAUACAACAACAACAACCCAGUAUAAUCCCACUUAGUGGGUUUUGGGAAGGGUAGUGUGUACGCAGAUCUUACCCCUACCCUUGGGUAGAGAGACUGUUUCCAAAUAGACCCCCGGCAUCAGUCCCUCCUAGAACUUUCCACCUUGCUCUUGGGGAGACUCGAACUCAUAACCUCUCCGUUGGAAGUGGGGGUUGCUUACCGUCAGAGCAACCCCUCUUGUAUAGAAGGAUGUCAAAUAGUAAUUAACACUUAACUGAGUACUUCUAAUGAGUCAAUAAUAUGAAUGCAUGCUCAAAACAUGUACAAGAUCCAUGUACCCUGAUAUACAAUC
rnacentral:lncRNA from 1 species